UACAGAGGUCCCAAGCGUUGUUCGGAUUUACUGGGCGUAAAGGGUGCGUAGGUGGCAAGGUAAGUCUGAUGUGAAAUCUCCGAGCUCAACUCGGAAAUGGCAUUGGAAACUAUCUAGCUCGAGGGUCGGAGGGGAGACUGGAAUUCUCGGUGUAGCAGUGAAAUGCGUAGAUAUCGAGAGGAACACCAGUGGCGAAGGCGAGUCUCUGGACGACACCUGACACUGAGGCACGAAAGCUAGGGGAGCAAACAGG
rnacentral:rRNA from 1 species